CUCAACCUUUUCUCACCCAAGGAACACCAAAGCUCUUUCCAAAAUUCCACAGCCACAAGCAAAAAAAAAAUAAAAAACACAGAACAGUGUCAUUUUGCCCUACAAAACAUGCCACAGUCAAUUUGCCCAUUAACCCAUAGAAGGUUAAAGGCUUAAAUCAAGCCAGGUGCCUAUUAAUCACAGUAGAUUUUCCAAUUAAUAAAUACCUUCCUAAGUUUGCCCGUUAUAAA